AUGGCUGCGGGUGUGGGGCGCUGAAGGGAGCUGAUGCUGGGGGCUCUGGCUCCCGCGGUUCUCCCGGCUCCUCUUAGCCCCCUCCAUUCUUCCCCGGGGAGUUGGCUCUCUGUUCAAGAUGGGUCUUGUCUUCCUGUCCGUUUGUCCUGGUUCUGCGGCCCUCCGUGGUGGAGCUGCCGCUCGGUUAUUGAAGUGCGCAAUAAGGGGAGGAGGGAAGGAGACAGGGAUGCGGGGGGCGGGCAGAGGGGGAAGGCCCAGCCCGCGUCUCCGAGCCACUGCUCCCACCUCAGCCUGAGACGGACCUGCGCGCCGCGCACUGCGGGACACCUGCUGGCUCUCCCUUCAGGGAACAGCUGUGAGGGUGACACCAGCAGAGUGCUUCGACAGGGACGGCCGCAAACCGGCCUGACUAGAGGGCAGCAGGGAACUGGAAUGAAUAUCAGCCUUGUGAGAAGCCUGGGAGCUGCGAGUGUCCCGGAUGUGGAUUUGGACUGGCAGAAAGCAGGCCGUUUAAGAAGGAAGCGGCCUUCCCUGGCCCUACAAUGCUGUGCAAAACUGAAGAAGUCAAAGGCUUUGUCCUCAGUGGAGCAAAAGGGCUUGGUUGGACCCUUUCAAUCAAAGAGGAUGGGAGCCAUGUAAAAUCAGGAGCUGGAAAGUAAAGGCUGCCAUUCUUUCCAGGUCUGCCUGUUAAGAGCUUCUCUAAGUGACUGUACUUGAACUGUGGUCCAUCCAUUUCUUAAAAAGUAACGGAGUUGGGGAUGUAGCUCAGUGGUAGAGUGCUUUCCCAGCAUGUGCAAACAUUGGGUUCGAACCACUCCCCCCCACCCCAUCCCAGGGCUUCAAAAAAGAAAAAGUGAUACGUGCUGCAUACUCAACAGAGAUGAAAACAUAGUCCUCACAAAGAAUUGUACUGAGUGCUACAGUAGGUUUUAGACUAGCUAAUGGCAGUUUCUCAAAUGUUCACCACUAAGUGAAUGAAUAAACACUACAUACGUGUGA